GGCUCAGGAUGAACGCUGGCGGCGUGCUUAACACAUGCAAGUACGAACGAAUUACUUUAAAAGAAGUCUUCGGAUGGAAAUAAAGUAGUUAGUGGCGGACGGGUGAGUAACGCGUGGAAACCUGCCCUAUACAGGGGGAUAGCCUCGGGAAACCGGGAUUAAUACCCCAUAAAGCUCUAGAAUCGCAUGAUUCAAGAGUCAGAACUCCGGUGGUAUAGGAUGGUCCCGCGUCCCAUUAGCUAGUUGGUGAGGUAACGGCCCACCAAGGCGACGAUGGGUAGCCGGCCUGAGAGGGUGAACGGCCACACUGGAACUGAGACACGGUCCAGACUCCUACGGGAGGCAGCAGUGGGGAAUAUUGCACAAAUGGGGGAAACCCUGAUGCAGCGACGCCGCGUGAGCGAAGAAGGCCUUCGGGUCGUAAAGCUCUGUCCUAAGGGAAGAAAAAGACGGUACCUUAGGAGGAAGCCCCGGCUAACUACGUGCCAGCAGCGGC
rnacentral:rRNA from 1 species